AGACAUGUGGGCAAUCUAGCUGCAGUAUCUAUCACCCCAUUGAUCAUCAGGGUUGAUUUGGCUCAUUAGGUUGGCUAGGUAGGCAUAACUUCCUCCCUCACUGCCCCAUGUGCAUCCCUCCUGAAGCUAGGCACUUGGUGGAAGAGGACAGCCUUCCCCUGUCAAAAGAAGAUCAAUCAGUCAAGGGUAUAGGAGUAGUUGUUCUUCCCUGCUAGAACCUCCAAACAAAGCUUAAUAUUUUUAUAAAGACAUGCAAAGGAAGGUGAAAAAAGGCAGUUCUGGUCACACCCUCACCUUACGUUGGCUGUCA
ensembl:misc_RNA 7SK 7SK RNA